UUAAAUUGAAGAGUUUGAUCAUGGCUCAGAUUGAACGCUGGCGGCAGGCCUAACACAUGCAAGUCGAACGGUAACAGGAAGCAGCUUGCUGCUUUGCUGACGAGUGGCGGACGGGUGAGUAAUGUCUGGGAAACUGCCUGAUGGAGGGGGAUAACUACUGGAAACGGUGGCUAAUACCGCAUAACGUCGCAAGACCAAAGAGGGGGACCUUCGGGCCUCUUGCCAUCAGAUGUGCCCAGAUGGGAUUAGCUUGUUGGUGAGGUAACGGCUCACCAAGGCGACGAUCCCUAGCUGGUCUGAGAGGAUGACCAGCCACACUGGAACUGAGACACGGUCCAGACUCCUACGGGAGGCAGCAGUGGGGAAUAUUGCACAAUGGGCGCAAGCCUGAUGCAGCCAUGCCGCGUGUAUGAAGAAGGCCUUCGGGUUGUAAAGUACUUUCAGCGGGGAGGAAGGUGUUGUGGUUAAUAACCGCAGCAAUUGACGUUACCUGCAGAAGAAGCACCGGCUAACUCCGUGCCAGCAGCCGCGGUAAUACGGAGGGUGCAAGCGUUAAUCGGAAUUACUGGGCGUAAAGCGCACGCAGGCGGUCUGUCAAGUCGGAUGUGAAAUCCCCGGGCUCAACCUGGGAACUGCAUUCGAAACUGGCAGGCUUGAGUCUUGUAGAGGGGGGUAGAAUUCCAGGUGUAGCGGUGAAAUGCGUAGAGAUCUGGAGGAAUACCGGUGGCGAAGGCGGCCCCCUGGACAAAGACUGACGCUCAGGUGCGAAAGCGUGGGGAGCAAACAGGAUUAGAUACCCUGGUAGUCCACGCCGUAAACGAUGUCUACUUGGAGGUUGUGCCCUUGAGGCGUGGCUUCCGGAGCUAACGCGUUAAGUAGACCGCCUGGGGAGUACGGCCGCAAGGUUAAAACUCAAAUGAAUUGACGGGGGCCCGCACAAGCGGUGGAGUAUGUGGUUUAAUUCGAUGCAACGCGAAGAACCUUACCUGGUCUUGACAUCCACAGAAGAAUCCAGAGAUGGAUUUGUGCCUUCGGGAACUGUGAGACAGGUGCUGCAUGGCUGUCGUCAGCUCGUGUUGUGAAAUGUUGGGUUAAGUCCCGCAACGAGCGCAACCCUUAUCCUUUGUUGCCAGCGAUUAGGUCGGGAACUCAAAGGAGACUGCCAGUGAUAAACUGGAGGAAGGUGGGGAUGACGUCAAGUCAUCAUGGCCCUUACGACCAGGGCUACACACGUGCUACAAUGGCGCAUACAAAGAGAAGCGACCUCGCGAGAGCAAGCGGACCUCAUAAAGUGCGUCGUAGUCCGGAUUGGAGUCUGCAACUCGACUCCAUGAAGUCGGAAUCGCUAGUAAUCGUGGAUCAGAAUGCCACGGUGAAUACGUUCCCGGGCCUUGUACACACCGCCCGUCACACCAUGGGAGUGGGUUGCAAAAGAAGUAGGUAGCUUAACCUUCGGGAGGGCGCUUACCACUUUGUGAUUCAUGACUGGGGUGAAGUCGUAACAAGGUAACCGUAGGGGAACCUGCGGUUGGAUCACCUCCUUA
rnacentral:rRNA from 1 species